UACAGAGGUCCCAAGCGUUGUUCGGAUUCAUUGGGCGUAAAGGGUGUGUAGGUGGCGCCGUAAGUCGGGUGUGAAAUCUCGGGGCUUAACUCCGAAACUGCAUUCGAUACUGCGGUGCUUGAGGACUGGAGAGGAGACUGGAAUUCAUGGUGUAGCAGUGAAAUGCGUAGAUAUCGAGAGGAACACCUGCGGCGAAGGCGGGUUGCUGGGCUGACACUGACGCUGAUGCGCGAAAGCCAGGGGAGCGAACGGG
rnacentral:rRNA from 1 species